GUCGUCGCUGACGCGGGCGACGGUGUAGGUGAGCGUGGUGGUCGUGCCCGGUCGCAGGCCGGCCGGGCGGCCGCCGUUCGGGCCGGCGACGUCGAUGC
rnacentral:tRNA from 1 species